rnacentral:rRNA from 1 species
AACGAACGUUGGCGGCAUGCCUAACACAUGCAAGUCGAACGAGACCUUCGGGUCUAGUGGCGCACGGGUGCGUAACGCGUGGGAACCUGCCCUUAGGUUCGGAAUAACUCCCCGAAAGGGGUGCUAAUACCGGAUAAUGUCUUCGGACCAAAGAUUUAUCGCCUUUGGAUGGGCCCGCGUUGGAUUAGCUAGUUGGUAGGGUAAAAGCCUACCAAGGCGACGAUCCAUAGCUGGUCUGAGAGGAUGAUCAGCCACACUGGGACUGAGACACGGCCCAGACUCCUACGGGAGGCAGCAGUGGGGAAUAUUGGACAAUGGGCGAAAGCCUGAUCCAGCAAUACCGCGUGAGUGAUGAAGGCCUUAGGGUUGUAAAGCUCUUUUACCCGGGAUGAUAAUGACAGUACCGGGAGAAUAAGCUCCGGCUAACUCCGUG